rnacentral:tRNA from 1 species
ACUAUUUUGGCAGAUAAGUGCCUUAGAUUUAGAAUCUGAAUAUGUAAUGAGUAGUUACAAGUAGUA